rnacentral:rRNA from 1 species
UUGAUCCUGGCUCCCGAUGAACGUGAACGGCAGGCCUAACACAUGCAAGCCGAGGGGUAAGUCUCUUUCGGGAGAACACGACCGGCGCACGGGUGAGUAACGCGUAUGCAACCUACCUUUGGCACGGGGACAGCCCGGGGAAACCCGGAUUAAUACCCGGUAUAGUCUGUUAUACACCUGUAUAAAAGACGAGAGCUACGGCGGCCAAAGAUGGGCAUGCGUGCCAUUAGUUAGUUGGUAGGGUAACGGCCUACCAAGGCAUCGAUGGCUACGGGGUCUAAAAGGAUGAGCCCGCACACUGGUACUGAGACACGGACCAGACUCCUACGGGAGGCAGCAGUGAGGAAUAUUGGUCAAUGGGUGGAAGCCUGAACCAGCCAUGCCGCGUGCAGGAAGACGGCCUUAUGGGUUGUAAACUGCUUUUCUACGGGACGAACGGCUCUGACGUGUCAGAGAUUGACGGUACCGUAGGAAUAAGCACCGGCUAACUCCGUGCCAGCAGCCGCGGUAAUACGGAGGAUGCGAGCGUUAUCCGGAUUUAUUAGGUUUAAAGGGUGCGUAGGCUGGGCAAUAAGUCAGUGGUGAAAGUCCGCGGCUCAACCGUGGGAUUGCCAUUGAAACUGUUGUUCUUGAGUACAGUCGAGGUAGGCGGAAUGUGUAAUGUAGCGGUGAAAUGCAUAGAUAUUACCCAGAACACCGAUUGCGUAGGCAGCUUACCAGCCUGGAACUGGCGCUGAUGCGCGAAAGCGUGGGGAGCGAACAGGAUUAGAUACCCUGGUAGUCCACGCCGUAAACGAUGAUCACUCGCUGUUGGCAAUAUAGAGUCAGCGGCUGAGCGAAAGCGUUCACGUGAUCCACCUGGGGAGUACGUCCGGCAACGAUGAAACUCAAAGGAAUUGACGGGGGCCCGGACAAGCGGUGGAACAUGUG